rnacentral:rRNA from 1 species
UGGCGGCGUGCCUAACACAUGCAAGUCGCACGAGAAAGUGGAGCAAUCCAUGAGUAAAGUGGCGAACGGGUGAGUAACACGUGACUACCUGCCCUCGAGUGGGGAAUAACCUCGGGAAACCGGGGCUAAUACCGCAUAAUAUCGGAUCAAAGCAGCAAUGCGCUUGAGGAGGGGGUCGCGUCUGAUUAGCUAGUUGGUAGGGUAACGGCCUACCAAGGCGAUGAUCAGUAGCCGGCCUGAGAGGGCGCACGGCCACACUGGAACUGAAACACGGUCCAGACUCCUACGGGAGGCAGCAGUGGGGAAUUUUGCGCAAUGGGGGAAACCCUGACGCAGCAACGCCGCGUGGAGGAUGAAGUCCCUUGGGACGUAAACUCCUUUCGAUCGGGACGAUUAUGACGGUACCGGAAGAAGAAGCCCCGGCUAACUUCGUGCCAGCAGCCGCGGUAAUACGAGGGGGGCAAGCGUUGUUCGGAAUUAUUGGGCGUAAAGGGCGCGUAGGCGGCGCGGUAAGUCUGAUGUGAAACCUCCGGGCUCAACUCGGAGCCUGCAUCAAAAACUGCCGUGCUGGAAUGUGGAGAGUGCCUGGAAUUCCCGGUGUAGCGGUGAAAUGCGUAGAUAUCGGGAGAACACCUGUGGCGAAAGCGGCGCACUGGACCACACUGACGCUGAUGCGCGAAAGCUAGGGGAGCAAACAGAUUAGAUACCCUGGUAGUCCUAGCCCUAAACGAUGAUCGCUUGGUGUGACAGGUACCCAAUCCUGUCGUGCCGGAGCUAACGCGUU